rnacentral:rRNA from 1 species
UACGUAGGGUGCAAGCGUUAAUCGGAAUUACUGGGCGUAAAGCGUGCGCAGGCGGUUCGCUAAGACCGAUGUGAAAUCCCCGGGCUUAACCUGGGAACUGCAUUGGUGACUGGCGGGCUAGAGUAUGGCAGAGGGGGGUAGAAUUCCACGUGUAGCAGUGAAAUGCGUAGAGAUGUGGAGGAAUACCGAUGGCGAAGGCAGCCCCCUGGGUCAAGACUGACGCUCAUGCACGAAAGCGUGGGGAGCAAACAGG